GGAGGGGUGGCCGGGUGGGCGGAGCUAUCCUGAGGGAGUGCCAUUCACAUGCUCCUCGGGCACUGACCACUGCUCUGUAGGAGAGUCCUGCUGCCUCCGUCUCUCCUCCACUCCUUUGGGGGUCAAGGUCACACCUUGGCCUUUACAUCUGGACUCCCCCAGUCUGCUCUCUGCCGUCAGCAGCCAGCCUUGGUGGAGCUGCCUACCGGUACUUAUGCUCCCUGGCACCUGGACAUGACCCUGCCUAGUCCCCCAUACCGGCUUAUUCUGUUUUGUUCUUCGGGGGCCAUAUGGCCCUACCAGCUCUCUGCGGAGGGUUUUCUUACACAGAUGCAUGCCAGGUUCCCAGUCUCUUGCAGAGGAACGCUGGCCACUAGGGAGAAUUGAGACCGUCUUAGAGAUGAAUGAAUGAAUGAAUUCACACACAUUUGCCCAUAUCUCCUACACGCCUGGCACUGCGCUAGGCCCAGGAGGAGGAAGGUGGAAGUGGCUUGAGCCAGGUGAGCAUCUUUGCGGAACGCAGGGCUGCUGAAAAGCUCUCCAUGCCAGAGCUACCCUCCGGGUGGCUUUGCUGGUGAAGGGCCGGCGGCACAUCUGGCGGACAGGUGCGUAUCGUCCAGGGAAGUCAUCUCCUCAGACUUCUCUAAGACACGGCCAGGAGGUGGAAGACUGGACUGUCCCAUCCCAAGUGCCAGGUCAUCCGUUGAGCACAGCCACCCACAUGCACACAAAGUCCGCAGAGCAGACAAGCUGGAAGAACGCCUCUGUUCCCCAAAAACUAAUGUCACCCAGGUCGGUCAAAUACCGAGCCCGGGAUUAAUGUCCAACCAACACAUGCCAAGUGAUUAAGGCAGGCCCCGGAGACUAGGAACUCACAGGCAGGGAGGGCCUCUCGCAGGAGCACCCGAGAUGACAUGAGUGAGGGAGGACCGGGUGCUCGUGUAUAUACAGCCUACAGUGUCUCAGGAGGAGCAGAGAGGAGUGCGCAGGCUGGGUGUGCUGGUGUGCGUGCAGGGAAGCAAGGGCUUUGCACUUCACUGAAGAGCAACUAAGUGAGUUCAAAUCAUGGUUUUUGAAAGCCUUUCCCUCCUCCUGGGCUGAGCGGGUCCUGGCUUGGUCCUUGACCUCAUCAUGCUGUUGGUUCUGCACACACCAGAAGCCGCUAGGAAGGAGGAGACCACUGCGGGGCCGUUGAAGGCACCUUUUGUUCUAAUCUGAGUGGUGGGAGGAUUUUCUUGCUGUGACCCACUGUCCGCUGAUUCCUAAAGGUGGAACAAGUUGUGUAAGAGAACGAGUCCUUCCCACCCCCAGGGAAGCAGGGUAGACAUGGUUGAAUAGACAGCUGCCAAUCUGAACUUAGAGGGGCAUCCCUAAUCCACAGCAGGGACUCAGGCGUGGGGGAACCCGGCCCCUUCUUCCCACCUCUUCUGCCUCUGGGAUGUCCCUGGAGGAUGUGCGUUCAGUGGGGAGCUGGAGGGAGCCUGGAAUUUCAGAUGUUGCCAUUUUCCAUGUGAUACAGCAUGCCAUACAUUUCUAGGUGCAACUUGGGUCUUCCUUGCUUGUGAAAAUGUAUCUUCGCUUUGCUGAGCCUAGCAUGGCCGGGUGAGUUAUGGGGAGGAGAAGCAGCCGGACAAGGUGGUCUUCACCCUGCAGGGCACCAGAGGCAGGAGCCGAGGCUUGCACUGAUGAAGGGACUGGGAGCACCGAGGCCAGAGGUGUGGCAACGCCAGCUGGGGAAUUCCAGUGACCACACCCUCCUGGCUGAGGUGGGAAGAGGCAGGCUGCUCCCACGAGUGGGCAGUUCUUGGCUGCUGCUUCUCAUCAGCUUCCCUGUGAGAUUUCAUCAGCACCUCCUCCCUCUCCACUGCCUGAAGAAUCCAGGGCCGCCAAUCAAAACGACAACAGGAUGAGGAGGCCUCUAGCCCUUGCUUCACUGUUUGUCCUUUGGUCCGGAAAGGGGUCUCGUGUCUGAGCAAGAGGCACCGUCUCGCCUGUUCGGAAGAGUCUGUGUGAGUGUGUGUGUGCAAGGUGUGUGAAUAUGUGUAUGAGGGUGUGUGAGUGUGCGUGUGAGUGGAGGAGCAGCGGGGGCUGGGGUGUCUCCAGAGGGCGACAGAGCAUGGGCCUUGGGGGCUCUGGGAACCCCCUCUUGAGGCCCACAUUUGGUGUGGAGAGAGCUUAGGGGAGGUGUGGGCCUCCAGGGAAGUGGCUGGGCUCUUCAUUUCCCUCUGACAGCUCAUCAGUAUUGAGGUCACACCAUUUCUCAGGUCAGGAUGGGGAUUGGGUCCCACACUCACACACUCCCAGCCCGAGACCUCUUCCCUACUGCGGUCCCAGAUGCCACAGCACAGACACACACCACCCACGCUGUGGAUGGUUUCUUCCAAAUUCCUGACCCACAGAUGUGCAUCAUAAAAUGGUCAUUUGACACCACUAAGUUAGGGGCUGUUAUUUGUGCAGGAAAACAUAACUGGGGCCCGUCUGCACCUGUAUCUCUAGGGCAAGGCUCCCCCUGAGCUCCUGGCAUGUGCACCUUACUGCCUACUGGAUGCCGACUCUUCCCAAAGUCCUAAAGCUCACAGAAUCUUCCCCAAGUGCAUCAGCCCAGAGCGUCCAAGGUGAAGCCAUUAUCUUCUCGUCCAAAUCUGAAACCACUGGUGACCUGGACAAAAUUGGACCCAGUGAGGCCUAUGACCACCUGGCAGGAGGGCACGUGCGGGCGAGAUGGGUUCCAGCUGUCCAUGUAUGUGCUUGACCCAUUUUGUUGUUGUUGUUUUGUUUUUUUUUGUUUGUUUGUUUUUUGAGACAGGGUCUGGCUCUAUCGCCCAGGCUGGA